AACGAACGUUGGCGGCGUGGAUUAGGCAUGCAAGUCGAAUGAAUCCCAUCUGGGUAACUGGGUGGGGGAAAUGGCGAAAGGGGCAGUAAGGCAUGGGCAACCUACCCCGGGGACGGGGAUAGCUAUUCUAACGAGUAGGUAAUACCUGGCGAUUCGGCGAAGAGGCAUCUCUUUGCCGGGAAACGAGUUUCGCCUCGGGAGGGGCUCAUGUAGUAUUAGCUUGUUGGUGAGGUAACGGCUCACCAAGGCAAGAUGCUUAGCGGGUGUGAGAGCACGACCCGCGCCACUGGCACUGAGACACUGGCCAGACUCCUACGGGAGGCUGCAGUCGAGGAUCUUCGGCAAUGGGCGCAAGCCUGACCGAGCGACGCCGCGUGUG
rnacentral:rRNA from 1 species